rfam:Oryza meridionalis cultivar OR44 (W2112) chromosome 6, whole genome shotgun sequence.
AAUAAACGCAGUUGUGGAUAUCGGCGUCCAACUUUGACCAUCCGUCUUAUUCGAAAUAUUUUUAUGAUUAGUAUUUUUAUUGUUAUUAGAUGAUAAAAUAUGAAUAGUAUUUUAUCCGUUACUUAACUUUUAAAUUUUUUUUAUAAGUUUUAAAAAUAAGACGAAUGGUUAAACGUUAAGCAAGAAAACUUAUAACUGCACUUAUA